rnacentral:lncRNA from 10 species
CACAUAGUGAAUGAAAUCAUUUUGGGCCCUUCCCCCAUCAGACACUUUUCCAGGAAAUAGCUUUUUGCUGCCAUGACCUCUUUUGCUGCUGUUUGAUAUCCUUGAUAUGAAAAAUGUGAAUGGAGACGAGCACCCCAUUAACCAGCAGCUCUUAGGCAGCAUUGCUUGUUGGAGGUAUCUUUUCACAGAGGUGAGCCGGCAGCGCCCUGGGCAUUAUGGGAGCAUCCUGAAGAUGCCAUUUGGAGUAGCUACUUUGAGGACAAGAGACAAAAAGCCUGAGGAGAAAGUCACCAUGAAGGAAACAGAAAGAUUAAACAGCAUGCGUGAUCUUUGAUUCAGAGUCCCCAUCUCACCCUGGACUGCCUUCCUUUGGAAUUCCCUUGUGGAAAAAAAAAUUAAACUCUUAUUUGGUUAAAUAAUUGUGACAUCUGAGCUGAGACUUGAAUGAAGAAAAGCUGUCCAUGUAAAGAUCUGGGAGCAGAAGGAUCCAGGCAGAGGAAA